rnacentral:rRNA from 1 species
CACGUAGGGCGCAAGCGUUGUCCGGAAUUAUUGGGCGUAAAGAGCUCGUAGGCGGCUUGGCAAGUCGGGGGUGAAAGCCCUCGGCUUAACCGAGGAAGUGCGCCCGAAACUGCAGAGCUUGAGUACCGGAGAGGAUGGCGGAAUUCCCCAAGUAGAGGUGAAAUUCGUAGAUAUGGGGAGGAACACCGGUGGCGAAGGCGGCCACCUGGACGGUAACUGACGCUGAGACGCGAAAGCGUGGGUAGCAAACAGG